ensembl:lncRNA
ACAGAGCGCACUGGGGCAGACUGGGAGGCUGUUGCUUCCUUUGUCUAGGGACAUCUUGUUCCCGCAUGUUUUGUUCUCUGCAGCUGCUGCCCUACCAGCCACCAGGAGGUCACAUCCCUGCACUGACCAAGGCCUCAAGCCUACACACCCAGGGGUACAUGCACACGAUACACCCAGCUCCAGAAGGACAACAGGAACUCUGGUAGCAUGUGCUGCCCCACCGGUUCUUCUUCUCUGUCCCUAAGGAAAGGACUCACUACUGAGAAAAGAAAAGAAAAGAAAAGAAAAGAAAAGAAAAGAAAAGAAAAGAAAAGAAAAGAAAAACUGCAGCAAGGACUAGAGCUUCUGUGUGAAAGCAACUUUAGUAACAAGAAUGUUCAAAACUAGAUUAUUCCCCUGCUUAAUCAUUAACCUUUGUUUUCCUCUGGGGACCUGAAGAGUAUUUUUUAAAAAGAGCUCAGAGAAUUAGAGGGGAUUUAUUCGCACUUUAAGAUAAAAUAGUUGACUCAAGCUUAGGCAUAUGAGGAGAUGUGAAAACUUCUGAUGUCCAGUUCUGUCAACAAUACUGGAUAAAAUGGUGAGAAGGAACACCCCAUGGAAGACAUGCAGUGACAGCAGACAAAAUCUCUGGAUACUACAUCACAGCAAUGGCCCCUCCAGAAGACACAGAGCUAGCAUGAAGUUCACAGGACUUGGGGCUAUAGCCUGCCAUCACUAUAGAAGAAAGAGUUUUUGCAUGAAACACAAUAUAUUUCAAUCACAAGGAAUAGUAUUCAAGGCAUGCAACCACAGGAUAUGAGCUUCUUCACUUGAAAAAAGGAGAAAAAAUCUAGUAUCAAGUUGCAGUUGCUAAAUGAAGAAGAAAAAUCUCUUUUGGGAUACUAGUUGCUGCCCAUAUAAGAUACAAGUCUAAAGGAUAACAUCCUACCCAGUGUCAGGUUACAAAAUUGCAAUAGCAAGGCCAGAUGUGAAAAUGGCAUCCUUAUUAACAAAAGGUUAAUAGGGUGAGGCACCUGAAGACUGCUUGCAAAAUGUCAUGUUCUGCAAGACUUAUCUUCCUGAGAAGACACUUCCUGCUCUUGGGAGACCUGAUUUUCGGAGCUGUGGCCACCAACAUGCCCAUCACUUUAAAGAAGACUUAGUCCCCAAAGUUAAGUUACCAGCACUAGACCUCAUGCUCCAGUUCUUAACUUGUCUGAUCUUAAGUCUUAGGCACUGAGGAGAAAAUAUUAAUAUAGUAAAUGGAAAUUAUCUGUAGGAUGACAUUUUUGUAAUGAAGUACAUCACAUGUAAGAUGCAUGAAGUACAACAGCACUUUCUUAUAUUCAUAAAUUAAAAUACAUCACCUACAUGCAGAUUUGCUCAUUACUGUAUCAUGUGUAAUCCCACUUGACCCAGCUCCCUUUCAAAACACAGUAAAUUUCCACACUUUCUGAUUGUUUUCUUGUUUUCUCUUGCCUUUGUUUCUUCUGUGCAGACAGAAUUGCUUUAAGGGAUUGAAUUUACUUUAGGUGUUAAAAAUUCUGAAGUGCUUCAAAAGUAAACUUUGUGUUCUACGUAAAGGUAAGUUAGUGCUAACUUAAGGCAAUAAGAUUUUUUAUUGAUUUCAGGAGCCUUCUAUAGAUUGAAAAAUGUUCAUGAGAAUGCUACUGACUGCAACUGAUGCAGUAGAAGUGAAGCUUUCUGUAGACAAUAAUAUUUCAACUAGGGCUUAACUUCUG